UAGGCAUGAACUCAGGCUAAUCAAGGAGCUUUAGCGUAGACGAACGCGAGCGGCCUGAUCGGUCUGCACGGCCUAGCCACCUGGUGGUGCAGAUCUUAACCAAUCGAAGAGCUAAUAUUGCUGUACUGAAUUGUAAAACAUUUUAAAUAUUUAGAAAAACAACGUGGUUCUCUAUUACGCUCCUGCCAACAAUUCACACCAGCAGCAAAGUAGAAUAUACUUCGUUACUGCUAUAUUAUUUCUGUGUUUGGUUGAGCUGCGUGCCACCAGGUGGCUGCACUGUG
rnacentral:lncRNA from 1 species